GGUGACACCGUGUGUGUGUGUCCCCAUGUCCCCCCCCCCCCCGUGUCCCCGCAGGGCAUGGCGGAGCUGCACGUCAUCAGGCAGCUGGUGGGGGCCAGCGGCUUCCCCCAGCGCAGCCUCUUUUGCAAGUGGGGGCUGCACGCCGGUGAGGGGGGGGCACAGGGUGACAACAGGUGACAACAUCGACGUCCACUACGUCACCAAGGGCCUGCAAGGUGGUCGUGAUACUGGGGAAGGCUGACUUGCCCUAGAAAACCCCUCCAACCUGGAUGGACCUUCAUGCACAUCAUCGUUUGUGUGUCCAUUACUUCCAGAGUCUGUUGUUUCAGGGCACCUGAAAGGAAGGUGAGGUAGGCAAGGAGGGGUUCGCCUGCUGCCCCGAGCAGAUCUAAACUUCCAUCCCUUCGUCACUGAGAUGCACUCCUUCUGCCUGAUGGCCAGAGGGUAGGGGAUCCUCCAUUUCCUCUGCUGUGUCUGCCUGACGCAUCUGUCCCAGGGCUGGCAGAGUACAGUUCAACCUUCUCCGACUCCCUGGUGCUCCUCAGCCUGCCCACCUCCUCCCGAAGCUCUGCCAGGAGGCUGAGCAGUUCUUCUACCUGGGCGCACCUACCACAGGUGGACUCACAGGAUGGGAUGUCAGGAAGAAUUUCUUCAUGCAAAGGGUGGAACCGGCUGCCCAGGGCACUGCUGGAGUCCCAGGCCUGGAGCUAUUAAAGAAAUGCGUGGACUUGGCGCUAAGGGCCGUGGUUUUGUGGUGGGCCUGGUGGUGUUAGCUGACGCUUGGACUUGAGCUGAAGGCCCUUUUCCAAGCGCAAGGGUUCUGUGACUCUUUCACUGGUUGAGUAGGCGCCAUGCAGUCACCGGGCCCAGGGAAAAGACGUCCUUGGUGGCCUCCAAGUUAGCUCAGCGUCAUGGCACCGAGUCACUGUGAAGGAGCUGCUGGAAUAACGAGACAACAACCUAGUUCUAUUAAAAUAUAUAUUGCUCUUU